rnacentral:rRNA from 1 species
ACUCCUACGGGAGGCAGCAGUGGGGAAUAUUGGACAAUGGGCGCAAGCCUGAUCCAGCCAUGCCGCGUGAGUGAUGAAGGCCUUAGGGUUGUAAAGCUCUUUUGUCCGGGAAGAUAAUGACUGUACCGGAAGAAUAAGCCCCGGCUAACUUCGUGCCAGCAGCCGCGGUAAUACA